AUUGAACGCUGGCGGCAGGCCUAACACAUGCAAGUCGAGCGGAUGACGGGAGCUUGCUCCUUGAUUCAGCGGCGGACGGGUGAGUAAUGCCUAGGAAUCUGCCUGGUAGUGGGGGACAACGUUUCGAAAGGAGCGCUAAUACCGCAUACGUCCUACGGGAGAAAGCAGGGGACCUUCGGGCCUUGCGCUAUCAGAUGAGCCUAGGUCGGAUUAGCUAGUUGGUGGGGUAAUGGCUCACCAAGGCGACGAUCCGUAACUGGUCUGAGAGGAGGAUCAGUCACACUGGAACUGAGACACGGUCCAGACUCCUACGGGAGGCAGCAGUGGGGAAUAUUGGACAAUGGGCGAAAGCCUGAUCCAGCCAUGCCGCGUGUGUGAAGAAGGUCUUCGGAUUGUAAAGCACUUUAAGUUGGGAGGAAGGGCAGUAAGUUAAUACCUUGCUGUUUUGACGUUACCGACAGAAUAAGCACCGGCUAACUCUGUGCCAGCCGCCGCCGUAA
rnacentral:rRNA from 1 species